UAGUAUAAGCAAUUAUACAGCGAAACUGCGAAUGGCUCAUUAUAUAAGUUAUCGUUUAUUUGAUAGUACCUUACUACUUGGAUAACCGUGGUAAUUCUAGAGCUAAUACAUGCUAAAAAUCCCGACUUCGGAAGGGAUGUAUUUAUUAGAUUAAAAACCAAUGCCCUCUGGGCUCCUUGGUGAUUCAUAAUAACUUUUCGAAUCGCAUGKCSUUGCGCCGGCGAUGGUUCAUUCAAAUUUCUUCCCUAUCAACUUUCGAUGUUUGGGUAUUGGCCAAACAUGGUCGCAACGGGUAACGGAGGGUUAGGGCUCGACCCCGGAGAAGGAGCCUGAGAARCGGCUACUACAUCCAAGGAAGGCAGCAGGCGCGCARAUUACCCRAUCCCGAUUCGGGGAGGUAGUGACAAUAAAUAMUGAUACAGGGCUCUUUUGGGUCUUGUAAUUGGAAUGAGURCAAUUUAAAUCCSUUMMCGAGGWACAAUUGGAGGGCWWGUCUGGUGCCAGCAGCCGCGGUAAUUCCAGCUCCAAUAGCGUAUAUUAAAGUUGUUGUGGUUAAAAAGCUCGUAGUUGAACCUUGGGCCUGGCUGGCCGGUCCSCCUCACCGCGUGUACUGGUCCGGCCGGGCCUUUCCCUCUGUGGAACCUCAUGCCCUUCACUGGGUGUGGCGGGGAAACAGGACUUUUACUUUGAAAAAAUUAGAGUGCUCCAGGCAGGCCUAUGCUCGAAUACAUUAGCAUGGAAUAAUGAAAUAGGACGUGUGGUUCUAUUUUGUUGGUUUCUAGGACCGCCGUAAUGAUUAAUAGGGACAGUCGGGGGCAUCAGUAUUCAAUUGUCAGAGGUGAAAUUCUUGGAUUUAUUGAAGACUAACUACUGCGAAAGCAUUUGCCAAGGAUGUUUUCAUUAAUCAGGAACGAAAGUUAGGGGAUCGAAGACGAUCAGAUACCGUCGUAGUCUUAACCAUAAACUAUGCCGACUAGGGAUCGGACGAUGUUAUUUUUUGACGCGUUCGGCACCYUACGAGAAAUCAAAGUGCUUGGGCUCCAGGGGGAGUAUGGUCGCAAGGCUGAAACUUAAAGAAAUUGACGGAAGGGCACCACCAGGGGUGGAGCCUGCGGCUUAAUUUGACUCAACACGGGGAAACUCACCAGGUCCAGACACAAUGAGGAUUGACAGAUUGAGAGCUCUUUCUUGAUUUUGUGGGUGGUGGUGCAUGGCCGUUCUUAGUUGGUGGAGUGAUUUGUCUGCUUAAUUGCGAUAACGAACGAGACCUUAACCUGCUAAAUAGCCCGUAUUGCUUUGGCAGUACGCCGGCUUCUUAGAGGGACUAUCGGCUCAAGCC
rnacentral:rRNA from 1 species